rnacentral:rRNA from 1 species
UUAACACAUGCAAGUCGAGGGGCAGCAUGGUCUUAUCUUGCUAAGGCCGAUGGCGACCGGCGCACGGGUGAGUAACACGUAUCCAACCUGCCGUCUACUCUUGGACAGCCUUCUGAAAGGAAGAUUAAUACAAGAUGGCAUCAUGAGUCCGCAUGUUCACAUGAUUAAAGGUAUUCCGGUAGACGAUGGGGAUGCGUUCCAUUAGAUAGUAGGCGGGGUAACGGCCCACCUAGUCUUCGAUGGAUAGGGGUUCUGAGAGGAAGGUCCCCCACAUUGGAACUGAGACACGGUCCAAACUCCUACGGGAGGCAGCAGUGAGGAAUAUUGGUCAAUGGGCGAGAGCCUGAACCAGCCAAGUAGCGUGAAGGAUGACUGCCCUAUGGGUUGUAAACUUCUUUUAUAAAGGAAUAAAGUCGGGUAUGGAUACCCGUUUGCAUGUACUUUAUGAAUAAGGAUCGGCUAACUCCGUGCCAGCAGCCGCGGUAAUACGGAGGAUCCGAGCGUUAUCCGGAUUUAUUGGGUUUAAAGGGAGCGUAGAUGGAUGUUUAAGUCAGUUGUGAAAGUUUGCGGCUCAACCGUAAAAUUGCAGUUGAUACUGGAUAUCUUGAGUGCAGUUGAGGCAGGCGGAAUUCGUGGUGUAGCGGUGAAAUGCUUAGAUAUCACGAAGAACUCCGAUUGCGAAGGCAGCCUGCUAAGCUGCAACUGACAUUGAGGCUCGAAAGUGUGGGUAUCAAACAGGAUUAGAUACCCUGGUAGUCCACACGGUAAACGAUGAAUACUCGCUGUUUGCGAUAUACUGCAAGCGGCCAAGCGAAAGCGUUAAGUAUUCCACCUGGGGAGUACGCCGGCAACGGUGAAACUCAAAGGAAUUGACGGGGGCCCGCACAAGCGGAGGAACAUGUGGUUUAAUUCGAUGAUACGCGAGGAACCUUACCCGGGCUUAAAUUGCAGAUGAAUUACGGUGAAAGCCGUAAGCCGCAAGGCAUCUGUGAAGGUGCUGCAUGGUUGUCGUCAGCUCGUGCCGUGAGGUGUCGGCUUAAGUGCCAUAACGAGCGCAACCCUUGUUGUCAGUUACUAACAGGUUCCGCUGAGGACUCUGACAAGACUGCCAUCGUAAGAUGUGAGGAAGGUGGGGAUGACGUCAAAUCAGCACGGCCCUUACGUCCGGGGCUACACACGUGUUACAAUGGGGGGUACAGAGGGCCGCUACCACGCGAGUGGAUGCCAAUCCCCAAAACCUCUCUCAGUUCGGACUGGAGUCUGCAACCCGACUCCACGAAGCUGGAUUCGCUAGUAAUCGCGCAUCAGCCACGGCGCGGUGAAUACGUUCCCGGGCCUUGUACACACCGCCCGUCAAGCCAUGGGAGCCGGGGGUACCUGAAGUGCGUAACCGCGAGGAGCGCCCUAGGGUAAAACUGGUGACUGGGGCUAAG